rnacentral:rRNA from 1 species
UGCGAGUCGACACAGCAAUGUGUGGCAUACGGCUCAGUAACACGUAGUCAACAUGCCCAGGGGACGUGGAUAACCUCGGGAAACUGAGGCUAAACCGCGAUAGGUCACUACUUCUGGAAUGGGUAAUGACCCAAACCUAUAUGGCCCCUGGAUUGGACUGCGGCCGAUCAGGCUGUUGGUGAGGUAAUGGCCCACCAAACCUGUAACCGGUACGGGCUCUGAGAGGAGGAGCCCGGAGAUGGGCACUGAGACAAGGGCCCAGGCCCUAUGGGGCGCAGCAGGCGCGAAACCUCUGCAAUAGGCGAAAGCUUGACAGGGUUACUCUGAGUGAUUUCCGUUAAGGGGAUCUUUUGGCACCUCUAAAAAUGGUGCAGAAUAAGGGGUGGGCAAGUCUGGUGUCAGCCGCCGCGGUAAUACCAGCACCCCGAGUGGUCGGGACGUUUAUUGGGCCUAAAGCAUCCGUAGCCGGUUCCGCAAGUCUUCCGUUAAAUCCACCUGCUCAACAGAUGGGCUGCGGAAGAUACUAUGGAGCUAGGAGGCGGGAGAGGCAAGCGGUACUCGAUGGGUAGGGGUAAAAUCCGUUGAUCCAUUGAAGACCACCAGUGGCGAAGGCGGCUUGCCAGAACGCGCUCGACGGUGAGGGAUGAAAGCUGGGGGAGCAAACCGGAUUAGAUACCCGGGUAGUCCCAGCUGUAAACGAUGCAGACUCGGUGAUGAGUUGGCUUUAUGCCAACUCAGUGCCGCAGGGAAGCCGUUAAGUUUGCCGCCUGGGGAGUACGGUCGCAAGACUGAAACUUAAAGGAAUUGGCGGGGGAGCACCACAAGGGGUGAAGCCUGCGGUUCAAUUGGAGUCAACGCCGGG